rnacentral:rRNA from 1 species
GAUGAACGCUGGCGGCGUGCCUAAUACAUGCAAGUCGAGCGAACAGACGUGGUGCUUUCUCCUCUGAGGUUAGCGGCGGACGGGUUAGUAACACGUGGAUUACCUCCCUAUUAAACUGGGUUACACUCGGGAAACCCGUGCUAAUACCGGGUAUUAUAUUGAACAGCAUGGUUCAAUCGUAAGAGACGGUUUUCCUGUCACUUGUAGAUUGAUCUGCGCCUCAUUAGCUAGUUGGUAAGGUAACGGCUUACCAACGCAACGAUGCGUAUCCGACCUGAGAGGGUGAUAGGCGAAACUGGAACUGAGACACGGUCCAGACUCCUACGAGAGGCAGCAGUAGGGAAUCUUCCGCAAUGGGCGAAAGCCUGACGGAGGAACGCCGCGUGAGUGAUGAAGGUCUUCAGAUCGUAAAACUCUGUUAUUAGGGAAGAACAAAUGUGUAAGUAACUAUGAACGUCUUGACGGUACCUAAUCAGAAAGCCACGGCUAACUACGUG